ACAUGGCGUGAGGUUUGAGCUGGUGAUGAAAAUAAUUUUAAUAAUGUUCUCUUGUUAAUGUGGGGAUAAGGGGGUAUUUGUGGUUUGACAUGUCAUGCGGUUCACACUAACUCUGUAUUUCAAUGACCUGUUAGAAAAUGCUGAGUGUCAAGGAUGAUGCAAAGAGUUGGGUCUCUCUCUGGAGGACCUGCUAACCCAUCAGCUGGGGCUAAUAAACAUAAUAACAUCCUCCACAACAAAUUGCUCAGCCAAUGACUUGGGAGCUUGGCCGGCCGAAGUUACAGAGCAAUUGAACCACCUUUCCUGGGCUGCUGAAGCAUAAUUAUGUCAAAAGGUAAGCCAAAAGGGACAGCGAUUGCGACAGUGGACAGAGAUGCAUUGAGUAACAUGGGAUCACAGAUUAGUGUUAGAUAACAGUGUUCUCUAAUCUCUCUUCAAAGGUGGCGCCCGAGUAGGCAGCCGUCGGCAAGUGCUCUUCAGGAGCCUUGCUUUUUUUGUUGUUUUUUUUUGUUCUUUUUGCGUUUUAUUUUGUCACGUGGUGCUGUUACCUCGUGUGGACCUAAUGCGGAUUGUUUUCACCAUCUUUUGGCCAUGACAUUCGUCAGAGGAGAAGAAUCUGUGCUUGGUGGUUGCGCC